rnacentral:rRNA from 1 species
GGGUUGUGAGGUUAAGCGACUAAGCGUACACGGUGGAUGCCCUGGCAGUCAGAGGCGAUGAAGGACGUGCUAAUCUGCGAAAAGCGUCGGUAAGGUGAUAUGAACCGUUAUAACCGGCGAUGUCCGAAUGGGGAAACCCAGUGUGAUUCGUCACACUAUCGUUAACUGAAUACAUAGGUUAACGAGGCGAACCGGGGGAACUGAAACAUCUAAGUACCCCGAGGAAAAGAAAUCAACCGAGAUUCCCCCAGUAGCGGCGAGCGAACGGGGAGCAGCCCAGAGUCUGAAUCAGCUUGUGUGUUAGUGGAACGGUCUGGAAAGUCCGACGGUACAGGGUGAUAGUCCCGUACACCAAAAUGCACAGGUUGUGAACUCGAAGAGUAGGGCGGGACACGUGGUAUCCUGUCUGAAUAUGGGGGGACCAUCCUCCAAGGCUAAAUACUCCUGACUGACCGAUAGUGAACCAGUACCGUGAGGGAAAGGCGAAAAGAACCCCGGCGAGGGGAGUGAAAAAGAACCUGAAACCGUGUACGUACAAGCAGUGGGAGCACCUUCGGGUGUGACUGCGUACCUUUUGUAUAAUGGGUCAGCGACUUAUAUUCUGUAGCAAGGUUAACCGUAUAGGGGAGCCGCAGGGAAACCGAGUCUUAACUGGGCGUUAAGUUGCAGGGUAUAGACCCGAAACCCGGUGAUCUAGCCAUGGGCAGGUUGAAGGUUGGGUAACACUAACUGGAGGACCGAACCGACUAAUGUUGAAAAAUUAGCGGAUGACUUGUGGCUGGGGGUGAAAGGCCAAUCAAACCGGGAGAUAGCUGGUUCUCCCCGAAAGCUAUUUAGGUAGCGCCUCGUGAAUUCAUCUUCGGGGGUAGAGCACUGUUUCGGCUAGGGGGUCAUCCCGACUUACCAACCCGAUGCAAACUACGAAUACCGAAGAAUGUUAUCACGGGAGACACACGGCGGGUGCUAACGUCCGUCGUGAAGAGGGAAACAACCCAGACCGCCAGCUAAGGUCCCAAAGUCAUGGUUAAGUGGGAAACGAUGUGGGAAGGCACAGACAGCCAGGAUGUUGGCUUAGAAGCAGCCAUCAUUUAAAGAAAGCGUAAUAGCUCACUGGUCGAGUCGGCCUGCGCGGAAGAUGUAACGGGGCUAAACCAUGCACCGAAGCUGCGGCAGCGACACUAUGUGUUGUUGGGUAGGGGAGCGUUCUGUAAGCCUGCGAAGGUGUGCUGUGAGGCAUGCUGGAGGUAUCAGAAGUGCGAAUGCUGACAUAAGUAACGAUAAAGCGGGUGAAAAGCCCGCUCGCCGGAAGACCAAGGGUUCCUGUCCAACGUUAAUCGGGGCAGGGUGAGUCGACCCCUAAGGCGAGGCCGAAAGGCGUAGUCGAUGGGAAACAGGUUAAUAUUCCUGUACUUGGUGUUACUGCGAAGGGGGGACGGAGAAGGCUAUGUUAGCCGGGCGACGGUUGUCCCGGUUUAAGCAUGUAGGCUGGUUGUCCAGGCAAAUCCGGAUAAUCAAGGCUGAGGUGUGAUGACGAGGCACUACGGUGCUGAAGUAACAAAUGCCCUGCUUCCAGGAAAAGCCUCUAAGCAUCAGGUAACAUCAAAUCGUACCCCAAACCGACACAGGUGGUCAGGUAGAGAAUACCAAGGCGCUUGAGAGAACUCGGGUGAAGGAACUAGGCAAAAUGGUGCCGUAACUUCGGGAGAAGGCACGCUGGUGUGUAGGUGAAGUCCCUGCGGAUGGAGCUGAGACCAGUCGAAGAUACCAGCUGGCUGCAACUGUUUAUUAAAAACACAGCACUGUGCAAACACGAAAGUGGACGUAUACGGUGUGACGCCUGCCCGGUGCCGGAAGGUUAAUUGAUGGGGUUAUCCGUAAGGAGAAGCUCUUGAUCGAAGCCCCGGUAAACGGCGGCCGUAACUAUAACGGUCCUAAGGUAGCGAAAUUCCUUGUCGGGUAAGUUCCGACCUGCACGAAUGGCGUAAUGAUGGCCAGGCUGUCUCCACCCGAGACUCAGUGAAAUUGAACUCGCUGUGAAGAUGCAGUGUACCCGCGGCAAGACGGAAAGACCCCGUGAACCUUUACUAUAGCUUGACACUGAACAUUGAGCCUUGAUGUGUAGGAUAGGUGGGAGGCUUUGAAGCGUGGACGCCAGUCUGCGUGGAGCCAACCUUGAAAUACCACCCUUUAAUGUUUGAUGUUCUAACGUUGGCCCCUUACCGGGGUUGCGGACAGUGUCUGGUGGGUAGUUUGACUGGGGCGGUCUCCUCCCAAAGCGUAACGGAGGAGCACGAAGGUUAGCUAAUCCUGGUCGGACAUCAGGAGGUUAGUGCAAUGGCAUAAGCUAGCUUGACUGCGAGCGUGACGGCGCGAGCAGGUGCGAAAGCAGGUCAUAGUGAUCCGGUGGUUCUGAAUGGAAGGGCCAUCGCUCAACGGAUAAAAGGUACUCCGGGGAUAACAGGCUGAUACCGCCCAAGAGUUCAUAUCGACGGCGGUGUUUGGCACCUCGAUGUCGGCUCAUCACAUCCUGGGGCUGAAGUAGGUCCCAAGGGUAUGGCUGUUCGCCAUUUAAAGUGGUACGCGAGCUGGGUUUAGAACGUCGUGAGACAGUUCGGUCCCUAUCUGCCGUGGGCGCUGGAGAAUUGAGGGGGGCUGCUCCUAGUACGAGAGGACCGGAGUGGACGCAUCACUGGUGUUCGGGUUGUCAUGCCAAUGGCACUGCCCGGUAGCUAAAUGCGGAAGAGAUAAGUGCUGAAAGCAUCUAAGCACGAAACUUGCCCCGAGAUGAGUUCUCCCUGAGACUUUAAGUCUCCUGAAGGAACGUUGAAGACGACGACGUUGAUAGGCCGGGUGUGUAAGCGCAGCGAUGCGUUGAGCUAACCGGUACUAAUGAACCGUGAGGCUUAACCUUACAACGCCGAAG